AUGCGGCUGGACUACUUGAGCCUUUUGCAUAGUUUUUUACUGGCAGUAGUUCAACAAUUUACAGAUAGCAUUUUAAGAAGAGUAUUUGUAUGUGUGCAUCUUCAGCCCUGUUUCUUCUCUUUUAUGUCAAUGCAAGAUCUUACACUUUUAAAUGAGGUAAUUGACGCAUGCUUUCCGAUUUCCUUAAGGAGGUUGAGGUAUGCAGUAUUUGUCAUCUCCGAGUUGAAACAAUGCCUUUCACUUAGCUGUAUUUGUUUGUCAGUAUGCUACGUGCUCAUUCAGAUUCUUGCUCAUCAAAGAAUCAUUCGAACCAAAUGCUGA
rnacentral:rRNA from 1 species